AGAGUUUGAUCCUGGCUCAGGAUGAACGCUGGCGGCGUGCUUAACACAUGCAAGUCGAACGAAGCAGUUGGAGUGCUUGCACUUUGAUUGACUGAGUGGCGGACGGGUGAGUAACGCGUGGAUAACCUGCCUCACACAGGGGGAUAACAGUUGGAAACAGCUGCUAAUACCGCAUAAGCGCACAGUAUCGCAUGAUACAGUGUGAAAAACUCCGGUGGUGUGAGAUGGACCCGCGUCUGAUUAGCUAGUCGGUAAGGUAACGGCUUACCAAGGCGACGAUCAGUAGCCGGCCUGAGAGGGUGAACGGCCACAUUGGGACUGAGACACGGCCCAAACUCCUACGGGAGGCAGCAGUGGGGAAUAUUGCACAAUGGGGGAAACCCUGAUGCAGCGACGCCGCGUGAACGAUGAAGUAUUUCGGUAUGUAAAGCUCUAUCAGCAGGGAAGAUAAUGACGGUACCUGACUAAGAAGCUCCGGCUAAAUACGUGCCAGCAGCCGCGGUAAUACGUAUGGAGCAAGCGUUAUCCGGAUUUACUGGGUGUAAAGGGAGUGUAGACGGCAAGGCAAGUCAGAAGUGAAAGCCCGGGGCUCAACCGCGGGACUGCUUUUGAAACUGUUUAGCUAGAGUGCAGGAGAGGUAAGUGGAAUUCCUAGUGUAGCGGUGAAAUGCGUAGAUAUUAGGAGGAACACCAGUGGCGAAGGCGGCUUUCUGGACAAUAACUGACGUUGAGGCACGAAAGUGUGGGGAGCAAACAGGAUUAGAUACCCUGGUAGUCCACACCGUAAACGAUGAAUACUAGGUGUAGGUUAUGUCAUAUAAUCUGUACAUUGGCAAACGCAAUAAAUAUUACACUUGAGGGAGUACGGCCGCGAGGUUGAAACUCAAAGGAAUUGACGGGGGCCCGCACAAGCAGUGGAGUAUGUGGUUUAAUUGGUAGCAACGAGAAGAACCUUACCAGGGCUUGGACAUAUACAGGAAUAUGCUAGAGAUAGUAUAGCUCUUCGGAGUCUGUAUACAGGUGGUGCAUGGUUGUCGUCAGCUCGUGUCGUGAGACGUUGGGUUAAGUCCAGCAACGAGCGCAACCCCUGUUUCUAGUUGCCAGCACGUUAAGGUGGGAACUCUAGAGAGACUGCCGGUGAUAAAUCGGAGGAAGGUGGGGACGACGUCAAAUCAUCAUGCCCUUUAUGUCCUGGGCUACACACGUACUACAAUGGCUGUAACAGAGGGAAGCAAGACAGUGAUGUCAAGCAAAACCCAAAAAGCAGUCUCAGUUCGGAUUGAAGGCUGAAAUUCGCCUUCAUGAAGCCGGAAUUGCUAGUAAUGGCAGGUCAGCAUACUGCCGUGAAUACGUUCCCGGGCCUUGCACUCACCGCCCGUCA
rnacentral:rRNA from 1 species